rnacentral:rRNA from 1 species
CUCAGUUCGGAUUGGAGUCUGCAACUCGACUCCAUGAAGCUGGAUUCGCUAGUAAUCGCGCAUCAGCCAUGGCGCGGUGAAUACGUUCCCGGGCCUUGUACACACCGCCCGUCAAGCCAUGGGAGUCGGGAGUGCCUGAAGUUCGUGACCGUAUAGGAGCGACCUAGGGCAAGACUGAUGACUGGGGCUAAGUCGUAACAAGGUAAC